AUACGGAGGAUCCGAGCGUUAUCCGGAUUUAUUGGGUUUAAAGGGUGCGCAGGCGGCCAUUUAAGUCAGCGGUUAAAUCGUGGGGCUCAACCCCAUUCUGCCGUUGAUACUGGGUGGCUUGAUUGCGGUCGAGGUUGGCGGAAUUCGUUGUGUAGCGGUGAAAUGCAUAGAUAUGACGAAGAACACCGAUUGCGUAGGCAGCUGACCAGAUCGCAAAUGACGCUCAUGCACGAAAGUGCGGGGAUCGAACAGGAUUAGAUACCCUGGUAGUCCGCACAGUAAACGAUGAAUACUUGUUUUCGGCGAUAUAAUGUCGGAGGCAAAGCGAAAGCGAUAAGUAUUCCACCUGGGGAGUACGCCGGCAACGGUGAAACUCAAAGGAAUGGACGGGG
rnacentral:rRNA from 1 species